UACGGAGGUUCCAAGCGUUGUUCGGAAUUACUGGGCGUAAAGGGAGCGCAGGCGGAAUGUUAAGUCUAAAGUGGAAUCCCGGGGCUCAACCUCGGACGUGCUUUGGAUACUGGCAUUCUUGAAUUCGCGAGAGGAAAGCGGAAUUCCAGGUGUAGCGGUGAAAUGCUUAGAUAUCUGGAGGAACACCAAUGGCGAAAGCAGCUUUCUGGCGCGAAAUUGACGCUGAGGCUCGAAAGCGUGGGGAGCGAACAGG
rnacentral:misc_RNA from 1 species